GUGAGGAAUAUUGGACAAUGGGCGCAAGCCUGAUCCAGCCAUGCAGCGUGCAGGAAGACGCAUCUAUGGUGUGUAAACUGCUUUUGUACGGGAAGAAACACUCCCUCGUGAGGGAGCUUGACGGUACCGUAAGAAUAAGGAUCGGCUAACUCCGUGCCAGCAGCCGCGGUAAUACGGAGGAUCCAAGCGUUAUCCGGAAUCAUUGGGUUUAAAGGGUCCGUAGGCGGUUUAAUAAGUCAGUGGUGAAAGCCCAUCGCUCAACGAUGGAACGGCCAUUGAUACUGUUAGACUUGAAUUACAAGGAAGUAACUAGAAUAUGUAGUGUAGCGGUGAAAUGCUUAGAUAUUACAUGGAAUACCAAUUGCGAAGGCAGGUUACUACUUGUGGAUUGACGCUGAUGGACGAAAGCGUGGGGAGCGAACAGGAUUAGAUACCCGAGUAGUCC
rnacentral:rRNA from 1 species